AACGAACGCUGGCGGCAUGCCUAACACAUGCAAGUCGAACGAAGCCUUCGGGCUUAGUGGCGCACGGGUGCGUAACGCGUGGGAAUCUGCCCCUCGGUUCGGAAUAACAGUUAGAAAUGACUGCUAAUACCGGAUGAUGACGAAAGUCCAAAGAUUUAUCGCCGAGGGAUGAGCCCGCGUAGGAUUAGCUUGUUGGUGGGGUAAUGGCCCACCAAGGCGACGAUCCUUAGCUGGUCUGAGAGGAUGAUCAGCCACACUGGGACUGAGACACGGCCCAGACUCCUACGGGAGGCAGCAGUGGGGAAUAUUGGACAAUGGGCGAAAGCCUGAUCCAGCAAUGCCGCGUGAGUGAUGAAGGCCUUAGGGUUGUAAAGCUCUUUUACCAGGGAUGGAUAAUGACAGUACCUGGAGAAUAAGCUCCGGCUAACUCCGUG
rnacentral:rRNA from 1 species